rnacentral:rRNA from 1 species
UACGGGGGGGCAAGCGUUGUUCGGAAUUACUGGGCGUAAAGGGCUCGUAGGCGGCCAACUAAGUCAGACGUGAAAUCCCUCGGCUUAACCGGGGAACUGCGUCUGAUACUGGAUGGCUUGAGUUUGGGAGAGGGAUGCGGAAUUCCAGGUGUAGCGGUGAAAUGCGUAGAUAUCUGGAGGAACACCGGUGGCGAAGGCGGCAUCCCUGGACC